AGCGAACGCUGGCGGCAGGCUUAACACAUGCAAGUCGAGCGGGCACUUCGGUGUCAGCGGCAGACGGGUGAGUAACACGUGGGAACGUACCCUUCGGUUCGGAAUAACGCUGGGAAACUAGCGCUAAUACCGGAUACGCCCUUUUGGGGAAAGGUUUACUGCCGAAGGAUCGGCCCGCGUCUGAUUAGCUAGUUGGUGGGGCAAUGGCCUACCAAGGCGACGAUCAGUAGCUGGUCUGAGAGGAUGAUCAGCCACACUGGGACUGAGACACGGCCCAGACUCCUACGGGAGGCAGCAGUGGGGAAUAUGGGACAAUGGGCGCAAGCCUGAUCCAGCCAUGCCGCGUGAGUGAUGAAGGCCUUAGGGUUGUAAAGCUCUUUUGUCCGGGACGAUAAUGACGGUACCGGAAGAAUAAGCCCCGGCUAACUUCGU
rnacentral:rRNA from 1 species